rfam:Bacteroidetes bacterium GWA2_31_9 gwa2_scaffold_6452, whole genome shotgun sequence.
GCGGGAGUAGCUCAGUUGGUAGAGCACGACCUUGCCAAGGUCGGGGUCGCGAGUUCGAGUCUCGUCUCCCGCU